UUGAGAUGUCCCACAUCUGAUAAAAUUGGAACGAUACACAGAAGAUUUGCAUGGUCCUUGCGCAAGGAUGACAUGCAUAAAUCGAGAAAUGGUCCAAAUUUUU